CUGCCUCAAAGACCGGGACAACCUGCCGAAAGGGCUGGCUAAUACCGGAUAAGACUACGGGCUCUUCGGAGCCUGCAGGAAAAGGUGGCCUCUGUAUACAAGCUAUCACUUUGAGAUGAGCCCGCGGCCCAUCAGCUAGUUGGCGGGGUAACGGCCCACCAAGGCAACGACGGGUAGCUGGUCUGAGAGGACGAUCAGCCACACUGGAACUGAGACACGGUCCAG
rnacentral:rRNA from 1 species